rnacentral:rRNA from 1 species
AUUGAACGCUGGCGGCAGGCCUAACACAUGCAAGUCGAGCGGAUGAAGGGAGCUUGCUCCUGGAUUCAGCGGCGGACGGGUGAGUAAUGCCUAGGAAUCUGCCUGGUAGUGGGGGAUAACGUCCGGAAACGGGCGCUAAUACCGCAUACGUCCUGAGGGAGAAAGUGGGGGAUCUUCGGACCUCACGCUAUCAGAUGAGCCUAGGUCGGAUUAGCUAGUUGGUGGGGUAAAGGCCUACCAAGGCGACGAUCCGUAACUGGUCUGAGAGGGUGAUCAGUCACACUGGAAAUGAGACACGGUCCAGACUCCUCGGGGAGGCAGCGGGAGGGAAUUUUCAGAAAUGGGCGAAAGCCUGACGGAGCAACGCCGCGUGAGGGAUGAAGGUCUUCGGAUCUUAAAACUCUGUUAUUAGGGAAGAAAAAAUGUGUAAGUAACUAUGCACGUCUUGACGGUACCUAAUCAGAAAGCCACGGCUAACUACGUG